AGUGGGGGAAUGCUGAUGUUGACCUAAGAAAUAAACAUUAUUUCCUUUGGCCUCAAUAACCUGUUUGUUUACCUGGGUAACUGAAACAGACUAUAGUUAUGUUGUUGUUUUUUCGUUUGGCUCUAUUUAAAGCCCAUUGAAUUUGAUUGGUUAAUUUAUUUUUAGCUAUGGCUCUUCGCUGAUCUAUGUGUAAACCCUGUUAUUAGGUCAGAAAUGUGCGUUUUAUUUGUGUUUUCACUCUUUUAUCUGUGGAAUAAUCGCGGAGAGUGAUUCUAGUUCUUCUUGAAUGCUCUGAGCUUUUAUGAGUACAUACGUACAGCUCGGAGGGUCAAUAGCUGGGAGUUGGAUUAUUGCAACUAAGAGUGAUUCAUUAGUAGUUUGCAUAUUAACUUAAGUAAUGUGGAGAUUUAAAAUGUGUGCACUGUACUUGUCUGUUUAAGGUAAUUGCAUUUGGGAUUAAUUGGAGUAUUGAAAUGAUGAUCAAAUGUGAAAUGACACGUUCACGUUACAAUGACCGAUGUUUAUCCACAACAUUGUCAGGCCAGAUAACCAUGUCCAUGUUUGACUUGUGUCAGUGACCAUGUGAUUCAAGGCUUCCAUUGCUGUGGAGUGCAUUGAACGACAUCAUGGCCUAGAAGAACAUACCCGGGGAUAAUACCAGCAGCAACAAGUAUCACGCAACCGCCAAAAUGCACGCCGCCAUUUUGAAGCAUGUCUGAGUGAACCGAUGGUUUCCAUGGAUUCCAUGAAGAUUCAAUUGAUUUGUUGGUUUUUAAUUGUCCAAUUAUUUUUAAAAAUAAACAUUUUGGUGAA